UGAAUAUAUGUAUAUGCAUAAAGAUCAAUAGUAAUAAUAUUGUAAAUAUAUAUAGGCACUAUUUGAAAUGCCUGUGAAUAUAUGUAUGUAUUAUAUCAGAAUAUAUGGACACUAGUAUAGAAGGAUCUAGAAAUAUGCUCACGAGGGACCUAACACUAGUAUAGAAGGAUCUAGAAAUAUGCUCACGAGGGACCUAACUGCCAUACCUGGGCUCACGGGAGGAGCACGAGCAGUCCAGGAGGAGGUUAGAAAUAAAACUGCCGGGGCUGAAGGAGGGCAGAGGCUGUUCGGUUGGAGCUGUGGUCGGAUGCCUGAGGAGAGGAGAGCGUGAUUGAGGAGAGGACGGACGUCACUGUGUCUGACCGGAUUUAACCCGGGAGCAAAGGAGUGGAGGCGGAGCCGCAAAGCAGCGCUGUCAGCGGCGGCAUAGACAUAUCAGUGUAAGCCGCCAGUAUUAAGGGAAGAAACGCGGGGAGGAGCGAGACAGCGAGACGAGACUCCAGGGAGGAGCUAUACCGUUGGGCAGCCAAGGUCUCCAUGUGACGGAUGAGCGGCCGAGGUCCUCUGGAGAGGGGAGCUGGGACGUAGCAGCCUCCUGAGAAGGGAGAUAUCAUACCGCUGCCUCCGCUGUACUUAAACAUACAAUUAUACUUACCGUCGAAGGGUUCAGCAGGACGUGACUGACCUGGAAAAGAAGAGGAAGCUCCCCUGCCUCCGCCCAGACGCCGCCGUGUGCGGGUUGCAUAGCAACGGGCCGGCUGUGACGCAGUACGGGUGUCACCAUUCGUCAUCAUUCCGCGCCGCCCGGCGCUGGGAACGGAGUCACGGGAGCCGCGAUGCACGGGACUUGGCGGGCUUCUCUCUACUUAUGGGACUCACCUCCUCCUACCUGUCUUCCUGCAUGGAAACUGGAAACGUCAGCAGCUGUGGAUAGAAUGUUACAGGAAGAAGCAUUGUGAUGUCACGGGCUAGUGAUCUCACAGGCUAGGUGUGAUGUCACAGUAACCAGCAGCAAAGCUACAGAGUUACAGCUAUCUUACAUGUACAUUUUCUACAACAAUUACAACUGGAUAUACAUGAGUUUCUAGUUUUAAAAAAAAUAGACUAGUGUAGAAAAUUAAGUAUAAGGCAAUGUUGCACAGAGUGCCUCAAUAUAUAGGUAAAGGGAAAACAUAAGUGACAGGAAUUUCUAGACUAAAUCACCGCUUAUAUUUUAU